rnacentral:rRNA from 1 species
AACGAACGCUGGCGGCAUGCCUAACACAUGCAAGUCGAACGAGACCUUCGGGUCUAGUGGCGCACGGGUGCGUAACGCGUGGGAACCUGCCCUUAGGUUCGGAAUAACUCCCCGAAAGGGGUGCUAAUACCGGAUAAUGUCUUCGGACCAAAGAUUUAUCGCCUUUGGAUGGGCCCGCGCUGGAUUAGCUAGUUGGUAGGGUAAAAGCCUACCAAGGCGACGAUCCAUAGCUGGUCUGAGAGGGUGAUCAGCCACACUGGGACUGAGACACGGCCCAGACUCCUACGGGAGGCAGCAGUGGGGAAUAUUGGACAAUGGGCGAAAGCCUGAUCCAGCAAUGCCGCGUGAGUGAUGAAGGCCUUAGGGUUGUAAAGCUCUUUUACCCGGGAUGAUAAUGACAGUACCGGGAGAAUAAGCUCCGGCUAACUCCGUG